rnacentral:RNase_P_RNA from 1 species
UACGGCGGCGGGACGGUUCGCAAGAACCGCCUGAGGAAAGUCCGGGCUUCACAGAGGCAUGGCAACUGCUAACGGCAGCCGGGGGUGACCCCAGGGAUAGUGCAACAGAAAGAAACCGCCGCGCUUCGGUGCGGUAAGGAUGGAAAGGCGAGGUAAGAGCUCACCAGCGCACUGGCGACUUUGCGGCUAUGUAAACCCUGCUUGAAGCAACAUCCGUAUGGGACAUUAUGCGGAGCCUCGCGCGUCCCGGUGAUGGCGUGAGUCUUGCGGCGACGCAAGGCCAAGAUAGAUCGUCGUUUGAUACAGAACCCGGCUUACGGUCCAGUC